AGGGCCUGAAGUUACUAAAUUCACUCUGUUCUUCACCCGUCACAUGUUGGGAGACCCGGGUGUUCAUCGGGAGUUCUUUGCUCCUAAUCUAUCAGAGCUAGGAAGGUUACGGGUUGCUUUAAUGGAAUUUGAGUUUAAUCGUUCUAAACCAGUUUCUUCUGGGUACCCGAAUAAUGCUGAUCGGCAACUUCUUAUCAGUUACUCAGUGCCCAGUAACUUAGCGUCGCUUCUCGUCGAGAAAUAGGAGCUGUCUGAGAAAGUGAGACGACCAACCGUAGUAUAUAGUAGUAUCCGGUGAGAAGGAUGACACCAAAAAAAAAGGAAAACAAAGGCUUUUCUCAGUUAGUAGAACUAAACUUUGUUUGAUUAUUCUAAAUAAAACGUCUAUUAG